UGAGGAAUAUUGGGCAAUGCCCGCAAGGGUGACCCAGCAACGCCGCGUGGAGGAUGAAUGUCGUAAGAUUGUAAACUCCUGUUAGAGGGGAAGAAUAGUACCGGUUGGACCGGUAUAUGACUGUACCCUCAGAGAAAGCCCCGGCUAACUACGUGCCAGCAGCCGCGGUAGUACGUAGGGGGCAAGCGUUAUCCGGAGUUACUGGGCGUAAAGGGCGUGCAGGUGGCGUCUUAAGUCUGUUGUGAAAGCGCCUGGCUUAACCGGGCGAGGCCAAUGGAGACUGAGAGGCUGGAGGACGGCGGAGGGGUGUGGAAUUCCGGGUGUAGUGGUGAAAUGCGUAGAGAUCCGGAGGAACACCAGAGGCGAAGGCGGCACUCUAAGCCGUACCUGACACUGAGACGCGACAGCACGGAGAGCAAACG
rnacentral:rRNA from 1 species